rnacentral:tRNA from 1 species
GGGGACUUAGCUCAGUGGUAGAGCGCUUGCCUAGCAAGCGCGAGGCCCUGGGUUCGGUCCCCAGCUCCA